rnacentral:lncRNA from 1 species
CUCAAAGGAAUAUAAAUCAUUCUGUUAUAAAGAUACAUGCACGCAUAUGUUCAUUGCAGCACAAUUCGCAGUAGCAAAGACUUGGAAUCAAACCAAAUGCCCAUCAAUGAUAGACUGGAUAAAGAAAAUAUGGUACACAUACACCGUGGAAUACUAGGCAGCCAUAAAAAGGAACAAGAUCAUGUCUUUUGCUAGAACAUGGAUGAAGCUGGAAGCUAUUAUCCUCAGCAAACUAACGAGCAAUAGAAAACCAAACACUGCAUGUUCUCACUCAUAAGUGGGAGCUGAAUAAUGAGAACACAUGGACACAGGGAGGGG